AAAAAGAGCAUCAUUUUUUCUAGCUGGUAAACAGAUUCUUUUUUAUGAUUUUUAAGGUAGAAAAAGUAGAAAUAUCCAUUCUAGGUUCAUUUUUCUAAGGGUUUAAAAUUUGAAUCCUCAGUGAACCAGGGCAGAGAAGAAUGAUGAAAUCCUUGAGAGUUUUACUAGUGAUCCUGUGGCUUCAGUUGAGCUGGGUUUGGAGCCAACAGAAGGUGGAGCAGAAUUCUGGACCCCUCAGUGUUCCAGAGGGAGCCAUUGCCUCUCUCAACUGCACUUAUAGUGACCGUGGUUCUCAGUCCUUCUUCUGGUACAGACAAUAUUCUGGGCAAAGCCCUGAGUUGCUGAUGUCCACAUACUCAAGUGGUGACAAAGAAGAUGGAAGAUUUACAGCACAGCUCAAUAGAGCCAGCCAGUAUGUUUCUCUGCUCAUCAGAGACUCCCAGCUCAGUGAUUCAGCCACCUACCUCUGUGCCGUGAACACACAGUGCUCUCUAGACACUGGCAGUCUGUACCCAAACCUGCUAUGCCCCAGGAAUACCUGA